AUAUCAAUAAGCGGAGGAAAAGAAACCAACAGGGAUUGCCCCAGUAACGGCGAGUGAAGCGGCAAAAGCUCAAAUUUGAAAUCUGGCUCCUUAGGGGUCCGAGUUGUAAUUUGUAGAGGAUGCUUCGGGUGCGGCCACGGUCUAAGUUCCUUGGAACAGGACGUCAUAGAGGGUGAGAAUCCCGUCUUGGGCCGUUGGUCCACGCCCGUGUGAAGCUCCUUCGACGAGUCGAGUUGUUUGGGAAUGCAGCUCUAAGCGGGUGGUAAAUUUCAUCUAAAGCUAAAUAUUGGCCGGAGACCGAUAGCGCACAAGUAGAGUGAUCGAAAGGUUAAAAGCACCUUGAAAAGGGAGUUAAACAGCACGUGAAAUUGUUGAAAGGGAAGCGCUUGCGGCCAGACUCGGGCGCGGGGUUCAGCGGGUGCGCGUCACCCGUGCACUCCCCGCCGCCCGGGCCAGCAUCAGUUCUGACGACCGGUCAAAGGCCCCCGGAAUGUGUCGUCUCUCGGGACGUCUUAUAGCCGGGGGUGCAAUGCGGCCCGUCGGGACUGAGGAACGCGCUUCGGCUCGGAUGCUGGCGUAAUGGCCGUAAGCGGCCCGUCUUGAAACACGGACCAAGGAGUCUAACAUCCACGCGAGUGUUCGGGUGUCAAACCCGUGCGCGCAGUGAAAGCGAACGGAGGUGGGAGCCUUAGGGCGCACCAUCGACCGAUCCUGAAGUCUUCGGAUGGAUUUGAGUAGGAGCGUGGCCGUUGGGACCCGAAAGAUGGUGAACUAUGCCUGAAUAGGGUGAAGCCAGAGGAAACUCUGGUGGAGGCUCGCAGCGGUUCUGACGUGCAAAUCGAUCGUCAAAUUUGGGCAUAGGGGCGAAAGACUAAUCGAACCAUCUAGUAGCUGGUUCCUGCCGAAGUUUCCCUCAGGAUAGCAGUAACGAUAUUCCAGUUUUAUGAGGUAAAGCGAAUGAUUAGAGGCCUUGGGGUUGAAACAACCUUAACCUAUUCUCAAACUUUAAAUAUGUAAGAAGCCCUUGUUUCUUAAGUGAACGUGGGCACUAGAAUGGAACGUUACUAGUGGGCCAUUUUUGGUAAGCAGAACUGGCGAUGCGGGAUGAACCGAACGCGAGGUUAAGGUGCCGGAAUGCACGCUCAUCAGACACCACAAAAGGUGUUAGUUCAUCUAGACAGCCCGACGGUGGCCAUGGAAGUCGGAAUCCGCUAAGGAGUGUGUAACAACUCACGGGCCGAAUGAACUAGCCCUGAAAAUGGAUGGCGCUCAAGCGUGCUACCCAUACCUCGCCGCCGGGGUUGAAAUGACGCCCCGGCGAGUAGGCAGGCGUGGAGGUCCGUGACGAAGC
rnacentral:rRNA from 1 species